UACGAAGGGUGCAAGCGUUACUCGGAAUUACUGGGCGUAAAGCGUGCGCAGGCGGUUCGUUAAGUCAGAUGUGAAAUCCCCGGGCUCAACCCGGGAACUGCGUCCGAGACUGGAAGGCUCGAAUCCGGGAGAGGGAUGUGGAAUUCCAGGUGUAGCGGUGAAAUGCGUAGAUAUCUGGAGGAACACCGGUGGCGAAGGCGGCAUCCUGGACCGGUAUUGACGCUGAGGCGCGAAAGCCAGGGGAGCAAACGGG
rnacentral:rRNA from 1 species